rnacentral:rRNA from 1 species
AUUGAACGCUGGCGGCAGGCCUAACACAUGCAAGUCGAGCGGAUGAAGGGAGCUUGCUCCUGGAUUCAGCGGCGGACGGGUGAGUAAUGCCUAGGAAUCUGCCUGGUCUUGGGGGAUAACGUCCGGACACGGGCGCUAAUACCGCAUCCGUCCUGAGGGAGAAAGUGGUGGAUCUUCGGACCUCACGCUAUCAGAUGAGCCUAGGUCGUAUUAGCUAGUUGGUGUGGUAAAGGCAUACCAAGGCGACGAUCCGUAACUGGUCUGAGAGGAUGAUCAGUCACACUGGAACUGAGACACGGUCCAGACUCCUACGGGAGGCAGCAGUGGGGAAUAUUGGACAAUGGGCGAAAGCCUGAUCCAGCAAUGCCGCGUGUGUGAAGAAGGUCUUCGGAUUGUAAAGCACUGUAAGUUGGGGGGAAGGGAAGUAAGUUAAAACCUUGCUGUUUUGACGUUACCAACAGAAUAAGCACCGGCUAACUUCGUG